rnacentral:rRNA from 1 species
GAUGAACGCUAGCGGCAGGCCUAAUACAUGCAAGUCGAACGGUGUCUUCGGACAUAGUGGCGCACAGGUGCGUAACACGUAUGCAACCUACCUUACAUUGGGGGAUAGCCUUUCGAAAGGGAGAUUAAUACCGCAUAAGACAGUAGCUGGGCAUCCAGCGGCUGUUAAAGAUUUAUCGAUGUAAGCUGGGCAUGCGUCCAAUUAGCUAGUUGGUGAGGUAACGGCUCACCAAGGCAAUGAUUGGUAGGGGAACUGAGAGGUCAAUCCCCCACACUGGCACUGAGAUACGGGCCAGACUCCUACGGGAGGCAGCAGUAGGGAAUAUUGGGCAAUGGACGCAAGUCUGACCCAGCCAUGCCGCGUGCAGGAUGAAGGCGUUAUGCGUUGUAAACUGCUUUUAUACAGGAAGAAACGACUCUUGCGAGAGGCAUUGACGGUACUGUAUGAAUAAGCACCGGCUAACUCCGUGCCAGCCGCCGCAGUAAAAC